UUUUAAAUUGCUGUGGUAUUUUGACUAUACAAAGGUAUUGAAAUAAGACUUUAAUUGAGUGCUAAGAGAAUGGAAAUACAGAAAUUAACUUUUUUAGUCUUAACCAUUGAAGUUAUUUUUAUUUGUGAAGAAACAAUAAUUAAAAUUAAGGACAAGAAGACCCUAAGAAUUUUAUAAAAUUAAUUUUCCAAAUUUGGAAAAUUAAUUUUUUUAAUUGGGGCGAUUAAUUAAAAUUAAAAACUUUUUUUUAUAAAAAAAAGAACCGUUAAUAGCGGUUUAAUGGUAAAAUACUCUAGGGAUAACAGCGUAAUAAUUUUUGAUAGUUCAUAUUGACAAAAUAGUUUGCGACCUCGAUGUUGGAUUAGGAUGUUUUUUUAAUGAAGAAGUUAAAAAAAAAGGUUUGUUCAACCUUUAAAUUCCUACUUGAUCUGAGU
rnacentral:rRNA from 1 species